AUUGAACGCUGGCGGCAUGCCUAACACAUGCAAGUCGAACGAGUGGCGGACGGGUGAGUUAUGUCUGGGAAUCUGCCUGAUGGAGGGGGAUAACUACUGAAAAGUGUCUCUAAUACCGCAUACCAUAGUAUCUGCCGAUAUUGGCGUCGCUAGUUGGCGGGGUAAAGGCUCACCAAGGCGCCGAUCCCUAGCUGGUCUGAGAGGAGGACCAGCCACACUGGAACGGGGACACGGCCCAGACUACUAAGGGAGGCAGCAGUGGGGAAUAUUGCACAAUGGGCGCAAGCCUGAUGCAGCCAUGCCGCGUGUAUGAAGAAGGCCUUCGGGUUGUAAAGUACUUGCAGCGGGGAGGCGUUACCCGCAGAAGAAGCACCGGCUAACUACGUGCCAGCCGCCGCGGUAAUUC
rnacentral:rRNA from 1 species